rnacentral:rRNA from 1 species
CGUGUAGGUGGUAAUGUAAGUCUGGCGUGAAAUUUUUCGGCUUAACCGGGAAAGGUCGUCGGAGACUGCAUAACUAGAGGACGGUAGAGGCGUGUGGAAUUCCGGGUGUAGUGGUGAAAUGCGUAGAGAUCCGGAGGAACACCAGUGGCGAAGGCGACACGCUGGGCCGUACCUGACACUGAGGCGCGAUAGCAUGGGGAGCAAACA